CAUUGCUUGAAAAUACAAUGAAUCAUAAGCCUCUGUUUCGGCUAUGUUUAGCUGAAUGACUUCUAAAUUAUUUUUCGCAUAUAUUAUUACACCUCCUCCUUUGUUGUGUAAACGACACUUAGCAAACGCAUUGUAACCAUUUAUAGCUACUUCACCUAAGUGAUGUUUAUCGCGCAUAUUCAGCCAUGUUUCCGUAAUCAAAAUGAAGUCGGGUUUUUCACUAAUUGCAUGUAUUAUCAAGUGGCUACCGGGCAGUUACAUAAAAGAUGUUGAAUUUAUUCGUCGAGUGUGCGCCAUCUAUCAACUGUUGUUUCACUGGAAUAUUCACUGGAAUAGCGCGUCAGACCUGACUACCUUCAAUUACCCCUAACUCACCAACCACCUGCGUGGCUGUUGAUCUCACUGCUACCUCAGUACCCCUCACCUGUGGGUCUGGUGACCUGACAUCCUGCGCAGUACUGUACACCUGCGGCCUGACCUCAAUAUCAGGGUGUGGUUUCCUCCCGGCUAAGCCGGAAGCCACCUCACCACGUUGCUGCACCUGUCUUAGCUCUUUCGAAAUUUCCUCAUCUAAAAGGAGAAGCAGGAGACGGAGGAAGAGGAGAAGAUGCACGUAAGAAGACAUAACACCUGAAUGUCAACAAGUCCGUAAGCGAGAGGGACAGGAGGCACGAAGCAGCAGCAAAAUUUCAACACUUUAUUGUGUCAGGACACUUCCAGGCGCUGCCCUGGCCAUUCACGCCGCCGCAGCGACACAACCAUUGCAGAGGGAGCACACAGACCAAGAUAUAUACUGAUAAACAUUACAGAGGAUUCACACAGACCAAGAUAUAUACAUUGAUAAACAUUACAGAGGGAGAACACAGACCAAGAUAUAUAUUGAUAAACAUUACAGAGGGGUCACACAGACCAAUAUAUAUAUUGAUAAACAUUACAGAGGGGUCACACAGACCAAGAUAUAUAUUGAUAAACAUUGCAGAGGGAUCACACAGACCAAGAUAUAUAUUGAUAAACAUUACAGAGGAUUCAACACAGACCAAGAUAUAUAUUGAUAAACAUUACAGAGGGGUCACACAGACCAAGA